UACGUAGGGUGCAAACGUUGCUCGGAAUUAUUGGGCGUAAAGCGCACGUAGGCGGCUUUGCAAGUCGGAUGUGAAAUCCCUCGGCUUAACCAAGGAAGUGCAUCCGAAACUGCAGAGCUUGAGUACUUAAGAGGAUCGCGGAAUUCCCGGUGUAGAGGUGAAAUUCGUAGAUAUCGGGAGGAACACCAGUGGCGAAGGCGGCGAUCUGGGAAGAUACGUGACGCUGAGGCGCGACAGCGUGGGGAGCAAACA
rnacentral:rRNA from 1 species